rnacentral:rRNA from 1 species
GACGAACGCUGGCGGCGUGCUUAACACAUGCAAGUCGAACGGUGAAGGGACUGGUUUUGCUGGUCCUGGAUGAGUGGCGAACGGGUGAGUAACACGUGAGUAACCUGCCCCCUUCCUCUGGAUAACCGCAUGAAAGUGUGGCUAAUACGGGAUAUUCUGGGUCUGUCGCAUGGUGGGCCUGGGAAAGAUUGCGCCUUUUUUGGUGUUUUUGGUGGGGGAUGGGCUCGCGGCCUAUCAGCUUGUUGGUGGGGUGAUGGCCUACCAAGGCGGUGACGGGUAGCCGGCCUGAGAGGGUGGACGGUCACACUGGGACUGAGACACGGCCCAGACUCCUACGGGAGGCAGCAGUGGGGAAUAUUGCACAAUGGGCGCAAGCCUGAUGCAGCGACGCCGCGUGAGGGAUGGAGGCCUUCGGGUUGUGAACCUCUUUCGCCAGUGAAGCAGGCCUGCCUCUUUUUGUGGGUGGGUUGACGGUAGCUGGAUAAGAAGCGCCGGCUAACUACGUG